rnacentral:rRNA from 1 species
UACGGAGGGUGCGAGCGUUGUCCGGAAUCACUGGGCGUAAAGCGCGCGUAGGCGGCCCGGUAAGUCCGCUGUAAAAGUCCAGAGCUCAACCCUGGAAAGCCGGUGGAUACUGUCGGGCUAGAGUCCGGAAGAGGCGAGUGGAAUUCCUGGUGUAGCGGUGAAAUGCGUAGAUAUCGGGAGGAAUACCUAUGGCGAAAGCAGGCUUCUGGGCUAUCACUGACGCUGAUCUGCGAAAGCUAGGGGAGCAAACAGG